rnacentral:rRNA from 1 species
UUCUAGAGUCAUAUCUACUAGAGUGCAGUUCUCUUCUGUUGUCCCACUGAAGCUAAGCAGGGUUGAGACUGGCUAGUACCUGGAUGGGAGACCUCCUGGGUAGGACUACGUGGUAUUAGUGA